rnacentral:misc_RNA from 1 species
UCUCCGUAGGUGAACCUGCGGAGGGAUCAUUACUGAGUGAGGGCCCUCGUGGUCCGACCUCCAACCCAUUGUUGUCCGACUCUGUUGCCUCGGGGGCGACCCGGCCCUCUGGGCGUCGGGGCCCCCGGUGGCUCACACCUCAACUCUUGCAUCUGUGCGUCUGAGUAACAUAUUGAAUCAAUCAAAACUUUCAACAACGGAUCUCUUGGUUCUGGCAUCGAUGAAGAACGCAGC